rnacentral:rRNA from 1 species
CCACGUAGGGCGCAAGCGUUGUCCGGAUUUAUUGGGCGUAAAGGGCUCGUAGGCGGUUUCGUAAGUCGGGUGUGAAAACUCAGGGCUCAACCCUGAGACGCCACUCGAUACUGCGAUGACUUGAGUCCGGUAGGGGAGCAGGGAAUUCCUGGUGUAGCGGUGAAAUGCGCAGAUAUCAGGAGGAACACCAUUAGCGAAGGCGCUGCUCUGGGCCGGUACUGACGCUGAGGAGCGAAAGCAUGGGGAGCAAACAGGAUUAGAUACCCUAGUAGUCC